rnacentral:rRNA from 1 species
UACGUAGGUGACGAGCGUUAUCCGGAUUUAUUGGGCGUAAAGCGCACGCAGGCGGCAGAGAAAGUCUGACGUGAAAUCUCCCGGCUUAACUGGGAGCGGUCGUUGGAAACUACUUGGCUUGAGGCGAUGAGAGGGGUGUGGAAUUCCCGGUGUAGUGGUGGAAUGCGUAGAUAUCGGGGGGAACAUCAGUGGCGAAAGCGGCACCCUGGCAUUAGCCUGACGCUCAUGUGCGAAAGCGUGGGGAGCGAUCCGG